rnacentral:lncRNA from 1 species
UUCCUAUUUUUUAACACAAACUGAAAGCAAUUCUUAAUACUAGGCUGCAAAUGUUCAGCCUUAUCAUAACUCAUACAUAAUUGAUCUCUACUAUCAAAACGUGAUGAAAUUCAAUUUCUAGUCAAAACCCUUAUCAUGAUUUCAAAAGAUAUGCACAUACUUAAUGAUACAGAUUCAACUGAAAGAGUUUAUUCAUCUUUAAUGGACAAAACUUGAAACAGACUAAAUCAUUUGGGAAGAUUACUCUGAAAUUGAAUAUCAUUAAGAUUGCAACAUCUUACUCAAAAAAAAACCUAAAGUGGUAUUAACUAUCUCACAUGGAUCUCAUACAUGACAAUACAACUAUCCAAAAUUCAGGAGAAGGAAAUCAAAAACAAGCUAAAACUACAAGCAAAAAUAAAAGUCCAAAUACAACCCUCAACAUAGGUCUCAAUGUUCAUGGCACUUGGCAUGCUAAAACAAAAGAAAUCAAUUAACAAGUUGAUUGAAAAGACAAGAGAAAACAUCAAGUAAAUAUGAAGCUUGAACGCCUCCUAGAACCUUUGAUUUUGACCAAAAUAGACAUUAAUUGUGUGUUCUCGAAUAAAAUCAACUUCAUCCCCAAUCCUUCACUGAAACUCGCCAAUUUGAAAUAUUUGGGAUUUUAUGGUUUGGGAUCGGAUUAUUUCGAUUGAAGAUUCGAAAUAUUCUAGAAGGAUUCGAGGAAAAACGGGUUAGAUAUUGGGAAAGGGGAGAUUAUGAGGAUCUUGGGGUGUGAAUUUGGGGUUAAUUGGAGGUGGCGCCACCAUCAGAGAAGGCGAGGAAUUUGAGGCGGCAGAUUAGGGUUAGAGGUUAUCUAAAAGGGAUGAUGAGAAUGAAGAGAGAUGAAAUUUGAGGGAGGGGGUGGGGGGAUAGGACUUUGAUCGGACAGUUUUAUACGGUCAAACAAUUAGUUCUCAACUGUUUGAUUAACUGAGAUUAAUGGCUCUGAUCGGAA